rnacentral:rRNA from 1 species
GCACAAGCGGUGGAGCAUGUGGUUUAAUUCGACGUAACGCGAAGAACCUUUACCAGGUCUUGACAUCCCGAUGCUAUUUCUAGAGAUAGAAAGGUUACUUCGGUACAUCGGUGACAGGUGGUGCAUGGUUGUCGUCAGCUCGUGUCGUGAGAUGUUGGGUUAAGUCCCGCAACGAGCGCAACCCCUAUUGUUAGUUGCCAUCAUUCAGUUGGGCACUCUAGCGAGACUGCCGGUAAUAAACCGGAGGAAGUGGGAUGACGUCAAAUCAUCAUGCCCCUUAUGACCUGGGCUACACACGUGCUACAAUGGUUGGUACAACGAGUUGCGAGUCGGUGACGGCGAGCUAAUCUCUUAAAGCCAAUCUCAGUUCGGAUUGUAGGCUGCAACUCGCCUACAUGAAGUCGGAAUCGCUAGUAAUCGCGGAUCAGCACGCCGCGGUGAAUACGUUCCCGGGCCUU